UACAGAGGGGGCAAGCGUUGUUCGGAAUUACUGGGCGUAAAGGGCGCGUAGGCGGCCGCCUAAGUCAGACGUGAAAUCCCUGGGCUCAACCCAGGAACUGCGUCCAAGACUGGGAGGCUUGAAUCCGGGAGAGGGAUGCGGAAUUCCAGGUGUAGCGGUGAAAUGCGUAGAUAUCUGGAGGAACACCGGUGGCGAAGGCGGCAUCCUGGACCGGUAUUGACACUGAGGCGCGAAAGCCAGGGGAGCAAACGGG
rnacentral:rRNA from 1 species